ACUCCUACGGGAGGCAGCAGUGGGGAAUAUUGCACAAUGGGGAAACCCUGAUGCAGCCAUGCCGCGUGUGUGAAGAAGGCCUUCGGUUGUAAAGCACUUUCAGUUGUGAGGAAGGUGGUGUCGUUAAUAGCGGCAUCAUUUGACGUUAGCAACAGAAGAAGCACCGGCUAACUCCGUGCCAGCAGCCGCGGUAAUACGGAGGGUGCGAGCGUUAAUCGGAAUUACUGGGCGUAAAGCGCAUGCAGGUGGUUUGUUAAGUCAGAUGUGAAAGCCCGGGGGCUCAACCUCGGAACUGCAUUUGAAACUGGCAGACUAGAGUACUGUAGAGGGGGUAGAAUUUCAGGUGUAGCGGUGAAAUGCGUAGAGAUCUGAAGGAAUACCGGUGGCGAAGGCGGCCCCCUGGACAGAUACUGACACUCAGAUGCGAAAGCGUGGGGAGCAAACAGGAUUAGAUACCCUGGUAGCACAGAG
rnacentral:rRNA from 1 species